rnacentral:lncRNA from 1 species
GAGGUCAUUAUAUAAACAUCCUUCAUUUUCCGAGUCUGUACUCUAAUUAUAAUGUAGGCUGAUCAAUGUGGGAGGAGCUAUAGGAGGGCAGGCAGGCUCAUUAUUAUGGCUGUUUUUAGACUCAAUCAGGCAACGCAGUUUUAUUCCCCUGUUUUUUUAGUGUAAUACUUUUUGAAUCACUUCAGUAUGAUAAAACAACCUGUAGGUCGAAACUUUUGCAGUUAAGUGUAACACCUAUCAGGCCCCCGAGGACUGGAAUUACCCAGGCCUGCCGGGUUUAGGGUAGGGACGUCACACGGAUCCAAGAUAGCACUGACCGUCUCAGCUAUUGGCAACUGUAAUCAAGGGCGAGAUGAGCCCUGUAUACACAUCAAUCAAAUAUUGGUGGACACAUAGAGAUAGAACAACUGUUCUGUUAUCUACGGAUGGCCAUUAGUGGCCAUUACCACUGAUGAUGACGAAGAUGAUGAAGUAGACCUAUUGUGCUGUUUCAGAGCUUGCAUAUGCGUCUGCUGGUUAGUUUUCAAGAGUUGUUUACACUGUAAUCAGACCUGCAGCAGAGUUGUACAAGUAGUGGGACCCAACUCACUGGAUGAGAGUCUACUGUACAGCAUCUCCACCCAGACUUUAACAACAAAGACAAAGGGAAGGCCAGCUUCUUAUUCAUCAACACAUUCAGAUAGACGUUCAUUAUUGGGAAAGAAACCAGAGAGGGAGAGAGAGAGAGAGAGGAUAGUUCCACCUGCUUGGCCUAUCAUUUUAAAGGUAAGCCAUGGCUGAUCGUCUUUUCACAGAGGGAAUGAACAAUUGAUUAGCUUUGUUUGACAUAUAGAGUUACUCAGCUGUGAACUGUAUCUGUGUCUUCCCCUUUGAUUGUGUUAGCCCUGUGCUGGGCUCCAGAGGGGCGCGCCACCGGGGUGGAGCCGCUGCUGAAGUUCACCUGAUACAACUUUGAUCUUCACCAGCGGGGGUGGAGAUGAUUUUAUUUAAGGUGUCUCAGCAUCUCCGUGGCAUUGCGCUGUGUGAGGUACACAGUGAA